rnacentral:rRNA from 1 species
GUGACGAGCGGCGGACGGGUGAGUAAUGUCUGGGAAACUGCCCGAUGGAGGGGGAUAACUACUGGAAACGGUAGCUAAUACCGCAUAACGUCUUCGGACCAAAGUGGGGGACCUUCGGGCCUCACACCAUCGGAUGUGCCCAGAUGGGAUUAGCUAGUAGGUGAGGUAAUGGCUCACCUAGGCGACGAUCCCUAGCUGGUCUGAGAGGAUGACCAGCCACACUGGAACUGAGACACGGUCCAGACUCCUACGGGAGGCAGCAGUGGGGAAUAUUGCACAAUGGGCGCAAGCCUGAUGCAGCCAUGCCGCGUGUGUGAAGAAGGCCUUCGGGUUGUAAAGCACUUUCAGCGAGGAGGAAGGGUUCGGUGUUAAUAGCACCGUUCAUUGACGUUACUCGCAGAAGAAGCACCGGCU